AUGGCAAAGAAGAUAAAUUCUGCCUUCAAACAGCCCAAAACUUUAAUCCUGGAGGCUGGGAAGGUGUCUUUGGAUAUUGACUCCUCCCAAAUAUAUUUGCUGAGCCUCAAAACUGUGUGCAGACCCGUGAUCCUUAGUGACCCCAAGAAGCCUCGCUUCCUCAUCGAUGGUCCAGGCUCAAGAGCAAGAUUUCACGAACAAUGUAUCAGCUGUAGCCAUCAUCGACUGCUGAUUAGCAAGCUGUCAGAUGAAGAAAAAAGCAGCUCUCUGCUCUGUCUGCUGCCCGUCGCACAUCCUCUCCUUUCACGUGGAGGUGGCCCUGCGUACAGCCCAGCAGGAAGUUCGCUUUGACUAGCAGCACCGCUCCGAUCAAGUCUCCCAUCCACCGACUCCUGGUGUUCGUCCAAUGUGAUGUCCUCGAGCUAAUGCAGUAUCAACACACGUGUGUGCGUGGAACUUAAGAUUUUACUUCUGGAACAGCAUGAUUUUGGCCUUGAGGAAUUUGUUUCCGGCUCUCCGACAGUCCCCACCACGUCCUGUCUGCAGGCUUGUGCGGAUAGUGUCUGUCAGUCAGGUUCUUGGUGUCUGCGAAAUCCCUCACACCGGCUGUCCCUGCCUACAGCGUCCCGUGUGUAUAAACCCUGCCAAGCACAGGGGACGCACUGUAAGUCCGCCCUCUCUUUCUCAGGGAAGUCGUUGUGAAGCACAGAGGUAAUCUGAACUUGGGAAACUGAGGCUGGAUUCCAAAUAAGUUAGAGACUUAGUGAAGAAAAUUCAGGUAGUCUUGUUUAACUUGGCUGUCCCUUCCUGGGGACUUUUUUUGUGGGCGUGGCUAUGAAACAUUCUUCACCCCAAAGGAGUCGUUCUUUCACUGCAUGAGUUUUUGUUGCAGCCUGCACAGAACACUGAACCACUCAGGCUGGUCAGUUCACCUUUUUCUGGCUUCUAUGGCCUCUUCAAAUACCAUCAGUUUCAGAGAAACAACGUAUAGAUUUCUGGGUUUUUUUUAGAAACUUUAUUGAAGUAUAAUUAACAUGCCAUAAAAUUCACCUGUUUUAAGUAUUUAAUUCAGUGAUCUUUGGUAAAUUUAAAAUUAGAAGCGUUUACAGUUUUACAGCCAUUGUCACAAUCUGAUUUUAGAAUAUUUUCUUCGUCCUCAUCUCUGUUAUGUCACGAAUGUUAUUUAAAUGAAAUAUACAGUACAUAUCCUUUUGAGAUUAACAUUUUUCACUUAACGUAAUUCAGGUGAGAUUCCUCCAGGUUCUUGAGUAUGUCAAUAGAUUUUUCCUUUUUGUUGCUAAAUAGUAAGUAUUCCAUUGUAUGAGUGUAGCACCCACUUAUCCAUUCACCAGUUGAUAGACAUUUAGAUGGUUUCCACUUGGCUGUUAGGCAUAACGCUACUAUGAACGUCUUGAAUGAGUUUUUGUCUGGACACACAUUUUAACUGCUCUUGGAUGUGUAUGCCGAGGAGUGGAAGAUUUCUGUUUUAGUAUAACCUUUUUCUCUGUUCUCAUCCUCUGUGGAUUUCCAAAUUAGAGAAAGACAUUUGUUUUCUCUCACCCUUUGAAAUUAUGACUUAGUGACAACCCAACAUUUUAACAUCUUUUCUACAGCUGACGAAAGUAAUAUCCAUCUUGUAGGUGAAUGGCUAGGAAGGCAAUUUCCUUCCACUUCUAUAAAGUCAAAAAUCUCAUUAAGUGUUUCAGUCAGUUUUAAAGAAACUGAGAGAUGGACCAAUACGACACUUUCCUUCAGAGUGCCUCUUUACUACUCCAGGUAAGCGCACUCCUUUUAGCAGUGUUGUGUACAGGUGUGUACUGGAUCUUUAGCAGUAAGAUCUUUUCAUUUACUUUGCAGGUUUAUAGAGGAAGGGAAUUGCCAAAAUUUACAUAUGCACGGUCUGCCGAACAUGUUGAUAGAUGAGCAAAUUCUAGUUUGUAUUUAAAAGGUUACAGAUACUCUUUGGUUUUAUAUCUUCUACAGUUUCAGUAAAAUCUUCAUGGAAUCAAAAGACAAUUUGAAACUCCAUUUUUCAAAGCAAAGUACCUAAGAACUAUGGGGACCUUCUUUGCUCUUGUGGUUGGCCACGUCCCUUGAUAUGCAGCAGAAAGGCUGAUCCUCGCUGAGAUGGGACAGUCAGCCCCACAGGGAAGAGGUCCAUAUUCUCUUCUCAAAAUCUUCCCCUUCAUUUCCCCACAGGACAUUUUAGUUUCAACCUCUGAAUUAAGAUUUAGAACUCUGUCAGUUUCUAGAGUAAUCAUGGACAGUCAACAUAUAAGGAUGUGUAUUCCUCUGUGUGGUACUUCAAGCUAAUUCAGUAGCCACUGUCUUCAACUGAGCAUUGGUGUCUUUCGGGGAAAAGAAAACUUGAUUGAUUUACAAUACUUGCCUGUCUCAUCUAGGCCUUGUGAGAUUCAAUUUUCAUAUAUGGAUUCAAAUCUCCUUCUCUAACAUGACCAAUCCCCAAUAUUUUUCUGCAUAACAUACAGGACACUGUUUGGGGGACUUACCUCUCAUCCAUUUGUAAGAGUCCCUGUCAUUAAAAUAACACAGUUUUCUAACAUUAUUUUUCAGUCAUGUCUGGGUCAGCCUGGUGUUGCUAUCAUAAUCAUUAUGAUUUUAUUAUCUGAACUCUGCUAAAGUAUUUGCAAUGCUAAAAGUGAAUUAGUGCUGUCUCUAUACAAAGCACAGCAGUUAAUGCACAGGCAGAUCAGCGCCGACCAUUAGCGCCGACAAUUCCACACACUCAGAUUGCAUCAGGGAAUGCUCUAGAGGGAACCCCGAAUCCUGCUUGCCAUCAUCUGCAGUGGUCUGGGGAAAGGUCAGGGAGCGCCACUGUGACCCUUGACACUAAAAAUAGGAUUCGGCCUCUACUUUGGGGGUGCCAUGUAGGUCUCGUACUUUCCCCCAAACCUUUUUCACUCAUCACUGAAAUCUGGGAUUUUUCACAUCCUGAGGGGUCAUUUUCCGCAGGACUUUUGGUGCUAAACCCCAGACUGUCCCAGGCAGACUGGGUGUUCACCUUACAUCAGGAUUCUUAAGGCCCCUGGGAGAGCUUGCAAAGUCAGGGCUGCAGUUGACUGACUCCGCCCAUUCCUUUUAGCCUCCUCUCCUCCAGGUCGCAGCCUUCCUUGUCCAGCCCUCGGCUUUCCGUCUCCUUCCUUCGCAGACUUUUCACCGGGAAGUCCAGGUUCAAGCGUGGAUGUUGCUGCUCAGUCAGCUGUGGACUGGCCUCGGGUAAAUUAUUUAUUAGCUUUAAUGAGCCAUGGUUUCCUCAUUAUAAAAUGAGGAUUAAAAAUGACUACAUUAGGGGCCGGCUCCGUGGCCGAGUGGUUAAGUUUGCGCACUCCGCUGCGGGGGCCCAGGGUUCGGAUCCUGGGCGCGGACAUGGCACCGCUCGUCAGGCCACAUUGAGGCGGCAUCCCACAUCCCAAAACUAGAAGGACCUGCAACUAAGAUAUACAGCUAUGUACAGGAGGGGUUUGGGGAGAUAAAGCAGAAAAAAAAAAGGAAAAAAAAAAGAUUGGCAACAGUUGUUAGCCCAGGUGCCAAUCUUUAAAAAAAAAAAAAAUGACUACGUUAUAGGUUUGUUGUAAGGAGAUAAUGACCAAAUGAAUAUAGAAUGGCUGGCAUAAUAAACGUUCAAUAAUUCUGUACUGUUGUGUGUUA
rnacentral:lncRNA from 1 species